rnacentral:lncRNA from 1 species
AGUCAUUUUAUAUUUACGUAUCUUUACUUUUACUCAAGUAUGACAAUUGGAUACUUUUUCCACCACUAGACACGCACAUACACAAGCACACACACAUACACACAGAGAGCACUCUUCUGGGGAAAACACAUUUGUUUGAGUCAUUGAAGACACUUGACCGUGCAGACCUGGGAUGUCACUGAGAUAAACACUGGUUAGGGAACACUAAUGGAACAGAGCGAGCGAGAGAGCGAGAGAGAGAGAGAGAGAGAGAGAGAGAGAUAAUACCCACAACCAACCGACCAAAAUCUUUGGGGAGUUACAACAAAAACAACACCCACGUUACCAAGGUCAUAGAUUUAGUCUCUGUGUCACGGACGUCGUCGUGGAAAUGACCAGACCAAGGUGCAGGGUGGUGAGAGUACAUUUUCCUUUAUUUAUGUAAAUGUCGCCAACAAAAAAAGAAACAAAGAAACGACAUUGAAGCUUACUAGGGCCAUAGUGCCACUAACAAAGAUAACUACCCACAAAAUACAAAGGAAAAUGGCUGCCUAAGUAUGAUUCUCCAUCAGAGACAACGAUAGACAGCUGUCCCUGAUUGAGAACCAUACCCGGCCAAAACAUAGAAACAGAAAACAUAGAAAUAAAGGAACUAGAAUGCCCACCCUAGUAACACCCUGGCCUACCCAAAAUAGAGAAUAAAAGCAUCUCUAUGGCCAGGGCGUGACACUCUGACAGAAGUCAGCAUCCACUGCCUCCACUCAGCCAUACACUGAUGCUACCAUACAGUAUCAUAUACACACACAUGCUGGCAGGAAACAUAUGGCUAUGUGCUGACUUGGUUAUUGUACACAUUCCCUCCCCCAUCGUGUUCGUUUACUGUAUGUUGCUUUUAUGUCUGUCUCUUCCUGGAGGGAGAGGACACAUCUGGGUAUGUCUGUCUGUCUCUUUCUGGUGGGAGAGGACACAUCUGGGUAUGUCUGUCUGUCUCUUCCUGGUGGGAGAGGACACAUCUGGGCAUGUCUGUCUGUCUCUUCCUGGUGGGAGAGGACACAUCUGGGCAUGUCUGUCUGUCUGUCUCUUCCUGGUGGGAGAGGACACAUCUGGGCAUGUCUGCCUGUCUCUUCCUGGAGGGAGAGGACACAUCUGGGCAUGUAUGUCUGUCUCUUCCUGGUGGGAGAGGACACAUCUGGGCAUGUCAAAGAUUAAACAAUUCACACUAUUGGCUGAUAUUUAUCAGUACACAGGUUUAACACAUGCCAAACAAUAACAAUUUUCAUGUAUUGAUUCUUCUGGCAAUUUUUGGACAUGAGGUAACAGUUUUCCACAUCUGAUAAAGUCCUGUCCUAUUUUAUUCUAGAAAAUGAGUAAAUCCUGACAAGGUAACAAAAUGGUGGGAUGUUGCCAUUGAAACACACACACACACACACACCAUCCCUACUGAUUGUGUUGUGUGAAGUGGAGGGCCUCGGCCUGCUAAUGAUCAAUCCAGAAGGUCUUUAAUUAUUUACUGUUCUGUUGGCAGGAGAACAAGAAAACCAGGAGUUUGUGUUUGUUUGUGUGUGUGUGUGUGUGUGUGUGUGUGUGUGUGUGUGUGUGUGUGUGUGUGUGUGUGUGUGUGUGUGUGUGUGUGUGCGCGCUUGUGCGCAU